UGGCUCAGGAUGAACGCUAGCGACAGGCUUAACACAUGCAAGUCGAGGGGCAGCACAGGUAGCAAUACCGGGUGGCGACCGGCGCACGGGUGAGUAACGCGUAUGCAACUUACCUAUCAGAGGGGGAUAACCCGGCGAAAGUCGGACUAAUACCGCAUGAAGCAGGGGCCCCGCAUGGGGAUAUUUGCUAAAGAUUCAUCGCUGAUAGAUAGGCAUGCGUUCCAUUAGGCAGUUGGCGGGGUAACGGCCCACCAAACCGACGAUGGAUAGGGGUUCUGAGAGGAAGGUCCCCCACAUUGGUACUGAGACACGGACCAAACUCCUACGGGAGGCAGCAGUGAGGAAUAUUGGUCAAUGGCCGAGAGGCUGAACCAGCCAAGUCGCGUGAGGGAUGAAGGUUCUAUGGAUCGUAAACCUCUUUUAUAAGGGAAUAAAGUGCGGGACGUGUCCCGUUUUGUGUGUACCUUAUGAAUAAGGAUCGGCUAACUCCGUGCCAGCAGCCGCGGUAAUACGGAGGAUCCGAGCGUUAUCCGGAUUUAUUGGGCUUAAAGGGUGCGUAGGCGGCCUUUUAAGUCAGCGGUGAAAGUCUGUGGCUCAACCAUAGAAUUGCCGUUGAAACUGGGAGGCUUGAGUAUGUUUGAGGCAGGCGGAAUGCGUGGUGUAGCGGUGAAAUGCAUAGAUAUCACGCAGAACCCCGAUUGCGAAGGCAGCCUGCCAAGCCAUUACUGACGCUGAUGCACGAAAGCGUGGGGAUCAAACAGGAUUAGAUACCCUGGUAGUCCACGCAGUAAACGAUGAUCACUAGCUGUUUGCGAUACACUGUAAGCGGCACAGCGAAAGCGUUAAGUGAUCCACCUGGGGAGUACGCCGGCAACGGUGAAACUCAAAGGAAUUGACGGGGGCCCGCACAAGCGGAGGAACAUGUGGUUUAAUUCGAUGAUACGCGAGGAACCUUACCCGGGUUUGAACGCAUUCGGACCGAGGUGGAAACACCUUUUCUAGCAAUAGCCGUUUGCGAGGUGCUGCAUGGUUGUCGUCAGCUCGUGCCGUGAGGUGUCGGCUUAAGUGCCAUAACGAGCGCAACCCUUGCCACUAGUUAUUAACAGGUAAAGCUGAGGACUCUGGUGGGACUGCCAGCGUAAGCUGCGAGGAAGGCGGGGAUGACGUCAAAUCAGCACGGCCCUUACAUCCGGGGCGACACACGUGUUACAAUGGCGUGGACAAAGGGAAGCCACCUGGCGACAGGGAGCGAAUCCCCAAACCACGUCUCAGUUCGGAUCGGAGUCUGCAACCCGACUCCGUGAAGCUGGAUUCGCUAGUAAUCGCGCAUCAGCCAUGGCGCGGUGAAUACGUUCCCGGGCCUUGUACACACCGCCCGUCAAGCCAUGGGAGCCGGGGGUACCUGAAGUCCGUAACCGCGAGGAUCGGCCUAGGGUA
rnacentral:rRNA from 1 species